rnacentral:lncRNA from 1 species
UUGUGUGGACUGUUCUAUAAAUGUCAAGACUGUUUCAAAAUGACCAGAGAAUCUGCUACUGUUUCAAGUUUUUCUGAAACCUUAGGAUCUUAGACAUGAAGCAAUUCUCCAAGCUAGCAAUGUGCUAGCUAGCGGGACACAGGAUUUCAAUCAGAUGCCACUCUAAACAGCUCUCCACAACGCAGCCAGAACAAUCUUUCAGCAACAGAAAUCAGAUGAAUCACCAUCACUUCAAACCCUUUAGUGACUUUUCUAAUUCUUUUGGUUACACUAGCUUGCUUUCUACCUUACAAAAAUUCAUGAUUAUUUUGAGGAGCCAUGAAGAUAAUGGGAAUGAUCUCUUUUGUAGAAGAACCCAGAGUUUUGUGAAAUCCCUGAGGGAAAUGAGGAAUUUGUUGGGUGGGACCAAGGUAAACUCAGGCCAGGAACCAACCCAAAGCUAUCUAGAGUGACACACAGUGGAUCAGUGGUUGCCUGAUGAUAGU